rnacentral:rRNA from 1 species
AGUGAACGCUGGCGGCAGGCCUAACACAUGCAAGUCGAGCGAAGCCUUCGGGCUUAGCGGCGGACGGGUGAGUAACGCGUGGGAACGUGCCCUUUGGUACGGAAUAGCCCCGGGAAACUGGGAGUAAUACCGUAUGUGGUCGAGAGACGAAAGAUUUAUCGCCAAAGGAUCGGCCCGCGUUGGAUUAGGUAGUUGGUGGGGUAAUGGCCUACCAAGCCGACGAUCCAUAGCUGGUUUGAGAGGAUGAUCAGCCACACUGGGACUGAGACACGGCCCAGACUCCUACGGGAGGCAGCAGUGGGGAAUCUUAGACAAUGGGGGAAACCUUGAUCUAGCCAUGCCGCGUGAUCGAUGAAGGCCUUAGGGUUGUAAAGAUCUUUCAGUGGGGAAGAUAAUGACUGUACCCACAGAAGAAGCCCCGGCUAACUCCGUGCCAGCCGCCGCAGUAAAAC